rnacentral:rRNA from 1 species
GAUGAACGCUGGCGGCGUGCCUAAUACAUGCAAGUCGAGCGAACGGACGAGAAGCUUGCUUCUCUGAUGUUAGCGGCGGACGGGUGAGUAACACGUGGAUAACCUACCUAUAAGACUGGGAUAACUUCGGGAAACCGGAGCUAAUACCGGAUAAUAUUUUGAACCGCAUGGUUCAAAAGUGAAAGACGGUCUUGCUGUCACUUAUAGAUGGAUCCGCGCUGCAUUAGCUAGUUGGUAAGGUAACGGCUUACCAAGGCAACGAUGCAUAGCCGACCUGAGAGGGUGAUCGGCCACAUGGGAAUUAGGCACCGGUCCAGACCCCAAGGGGGGGCAGGAGUAGGGAAUCUUCCGCAAUGGGGAAAAGCCUGGAGGGGCAACGCCGGGGGGGUGAUGAAGGGUUUCGGAUUGAAAAACCUUUUUAUUAGGGAAAAACAGAUUUGUAAGUAACUUUGCACACUUGGGCGGUCCCAAAGCAGAAAGCCCCGGCCAAUUACGU